rnacentral:rRNA from 1 species
AACGAACGCUGGCGGCAUGCCUAACACAUGCAAGUCGAACGAAGGCUUCGUCCUUAGUUGCUCACGCGUGCGUAACGCGUCGGAAUCUGCCCUUUUGUUCGGAAUAACAGCUGGAAACGGCUGCUAAUACCGGAUGAUGACGAAAAUCCAAAGAUUUAUCGCCAGAGUAUGAGCCCGCGUUGGAUUAGGCAGUUGGUGGGGUAAAGGCCUACCAAGCCGACGAUCCAUAGCUGGUCUGAGAGGAUGAUCAGCCACACUGGGACUGAGACACGGCCCAGACUCCUACGGGAGGCAGCAGGGGGGAAUAUGGGACAAUGGGCGCAAGCCUGAUCCAGCAAUGCCGCGUGAGUGAUGAAGGCCUAGGGUUGUAAAGCUCGUUUACCCGGGAAGAUAAUGACUGUACCGGGAGAAUAAGCCCCGGCUAACUCCGUG